GACGAACGCUGGCGGCGUGCUUAACACAUGCAAGUCGAACGGAAAGGCCCUGCUUUUGUGGGGUGCUCGAGUGGCGAACGGGUGAGUAACACGUGAGUAACCUGCCCUUGACUUUGAGAUAACUUCAGGAAACUGGGGCUAAUACCGGAUAGGAGCUCCUGCUGCAUGGGGGGGGUUGGAAAGUUUCGGCGGUUGGGGAUGGACUCGCGGCUUAUCAGCUUGUUGGUGGGGUAGUGGCUUACCAAGGCUUUGACGGGUAGCCGGCCUGAGAGGGUGACCGGCCACAUUGGGACAGAGAUACGGCCCAGACUCCUACGGGAGGCAGCAGUGGGGAAUAUUGCACAAUGGGCGGAAGCCUGAUGCAGCAACGCCGCGUGCGGGAUGACGGCCUUCGGGUUGUAAACCGCUUUCGCCUGUGACGAAGCGUGAGUGACGGUAAUGGGUAAAGAAGCACCGGCUAACUACGUG
rnacentral:rRNA from 1 species